rnacentral:rRNA from 1 species
UUCUCUCGAUCCUGGAAAUACUUCUUUCGACACACAACCGUACCUCAAACCGACACUGGUGGACUGAAUGGUGUGAAGUGAAUCACGGCGAAGGAACUCGGCAAAUUGCUCUCGUACCUUCGGUAGAAGAGAGAUCUUUCUUUGUACGAAAGAUGACACAUAUGGAGGGGACGACUGCUUCUUAAAAGCACAAGACUCUGCAAAAUCAACAGAUGAUGUAUAGGGUCUGACAUCUGCCCGGUGCUGGUAACGUAAAAGGUGUGUUGCCUCAUUCAAUUGAGAAGAUAGGCCUUGAAUGUUCAGUAAACGGCGGCCGUAACCUUAACGGUCCUAAGGUAGCAAAAUUCCUUGUCGGGUAAGUUCCGCCCCGCACGAAAGGCGUAACGAUC